GUGCAUGUUGCAUAGAGUGAGAGAGGGAGAGGGAGAAGGGAGGAGGAACUGAGGUUGGAAUCUGAACCAGCCCCGUCAGAUAGCAAGGCAAGAGACUGAGGUGAUUUGGCGAGGGUUUGUUUGCGGUGAGCU